GAUGAAGAACGUAGCGAAAUGCGAUAAGUAAUGCGAAUUGCAGAAUUUCCGUGAGUCAUCGAAUCUUUGAACGCACAUUGCGCCCGCCAGUAUUCUGGCGGGCAUGCCUGUCUGAGCGUCAUUUCAACCCUCAAGCAACUUCUGCUUGGUGUUGGGGAUCGGCCGUCAAACGCCGCCCCCGAAAUCUAUUGGCGAUCUCGCUGUAGCUUCCUAUGCGUAGUAGUAACAUCUCGCAUCUGGAGAGCGGCGCGGUCAUGCCGUAAAACACCCAACUUCUCAGGUUGACCUCAGAUCAGGUAGGAAUACCCGCUGAACUUAAGCAUAUCAAUAAGCGGAGGA
rnacentral:misc_RNA from 1 species